rnacentral:rRNA from 1 species
ACGCUGGCUGUGUGCCUAAUACAUGCAUGUCGAGCGGAGUUCUUCGGAACUUAGCGGCGAAUGGGUGAGUAACACGUACUUAACAUGCCUUUUAGAUUGGGACAACGAUGAGAAAUUAUCGCUAAUACCGGAUACUUAUAUGGUUCGCAUGAACUAUAUAUAAAAGAAGCCUUUAAAGCUUCACUAAAAGAUUGGGGUGCGGAACAUUAGCUAGUUGGUAAGGUAAUGGCUUACCAAGGCGAUGAUGUUUAGCGGGGUUGAGAGACUGAUCCGCCACACUGGGACUGAGAUACGGCCCAGACUCCUACGGGAGGCAGCAGUAGGGAAUUUUCCACAAUGGACGAAAGUCUGAUGGAGCGACACAGCGUGCAGGAUGAAGGCCUUCGGGUUGUAAACUGCUGUUAUAAGGGAAGAAAAAGCAGUAGAGGAAAUGCUAUUGCCUUGACGGUACCUUGUCAGAAAGCAACGGCUAACUAUGUGCCAGCAGCCGCGGUAAUACAUAGGUUGCAAGCGUUAUCCGGAAUUAUUGGGCGUAAAGCGUCUGUAGGUUGUAUGUUAAGUCUGGCGUGAAAACUUGGGGCUCAACCCCAAAUUGCGUUGGAUACUGGCAUGCUAGAAUUGUGUAGAGGUUAGCGGAAUUCCUAGUGAAGCGGUGAAAUGCGUAGAUAUUAGGAAGAACAUCAACAUGGCGAAGGCAGCUAACUGGGCACAUAUUGACACUGAGAGACGAAAGCGUGGGGAGCAAACAGGAUUAGAUACCCUGGUAGUCCACGCUGUAAACGAUGAUGAUUAGCUGAUAGUARAACUAUCGGCACAGCUAACGCAUUAAAUCAUCCGCCUGAGUAGUAUGCUCGCAAGAGUGAAACUUAAAGGAAUUGACGGGGAUCCGCACAAGCGGUGGAGCAUGUGGUUUAAUUUGAAGAUACKCGUAGAACCUUACCCACUCUUGACAUCUUCCGCAAAGCUAUAGAGAUAUAGUGGAGGCUAACGGAAUGACAGAUGGUGCAUGGUUGUCGUCAGCUCGUGUCGUGAGAUGUUCGGUUAAGUCCUGCAACGAGCGCAACCCUUGUCCUUAGUUAAUUUUCUAGGGAGACUGCCCGAGUAAUUGGGAGGAAGGUGGGGACGACGUCAAAUCAUCAUGCCUCUUACGAGUGGGGCAACACACGUGCUACAAUGGAUGGUACAAAGAGAAGCAAAACGGCGACGUCAAGCAAAUCUCAAAAAACCAUUCUCAGUUCGGAUUGUAGUCUGCAACUCGACUACAUGAAGUCGGAAUCGCUAGUAAUCGUAGAUCAGCUACGCUACGGUGAAUACGUUCUCGGGUCUUGUACACACCGCCCGUCACACCAUGGGAGCUGGUAAUGCCCGAAGUCGGUUUUGUUAACUACGGAGACAACUGCCUAAGGCAGGGCCGGUGACUGGGGUGAAGUCGUAACAAGGUA